UUUAUACGGCCGCAAAAAAAUUUUUGUGGUCGUAUAUUGGUAUGACGUUGGCGUCGUCGUCGUCGUCGUCGUCGUCCGAAUACACAUUAGUUUUCGCACUCUAACUUUAGUUUAAGUGAAUGGAUCUCAUUGAAAUUUUACCAUAAGGUUCAAUACCACAAAAGGAAGGUGGGGAUUGAUUUUGGGGGUUAUGGUACUAACAGUUAAGGAAUUAGGGGCCAAAAGGGGCCAAAAAUAAGCAUUUUUGUAACAUCCAGACAUAACUUGUGUGUAAGUGUAUGGAUCUCUCUGACAUUGUACCACAAGGUUCCAUAUCACAAAGGGAAUGCUGGGAUUGAUUUUGGGGGUAAUUGUCUCCAAAUUUUAGGAAUUAGGGGCCAAAAAGGGGCAAAAAACAAGCAUUUUUCUAGUUUCAUGACAAUAACUUGUUUGUAAGUGUAUGGAUCUUUAUGAAAUUGUACUACAAGGUUCCAUAUCACAAAGGGAAGGCUGGGAUUGAUUUUGGGGGUUUUCCCUCAAAAUUUUAGUAAUUAGGGGCCAUAAAAGGGCAAAAAAAACAUGCAUUUUUCUAGUUUCAGGACAAUAACUUGUGUGUAAGUGUAUGGAUCUUUAUGAAAUUGUACUGCAAGGUUCCAUAUCACAAAGGGAAAGCUGGAAUUGAGUUUGGGGGUAAUUGCCCUAAACUUUUAGGAAUUUGGGGCCAAAAAGGGGCCAAAAAACAAGCAUUUUUCUAGUUUCCAGACAAUAACUUGUGUUCAAGUGUAUGAAUCUCUCUGAAAUUGUACUGCAAGGUACCAUACCACAAAGGGAAAGCUGGGAUUGAGUUUGGGGGCGAUGAAUCAUAAGGGGGUUCAAAAAAUUGGGGGGGGGAUUUUUUUUUUCCUUUUUUUUCUUUAACAUUUUCCAUUUUAAAUUGGUUAUUUCUGAUUUAUAUAUAAAAGCAAAUAAUAAUGAUAUGGUUUGAAUAGGCAUACAUGUGAACCUCCCGACGGGAGUACAAUAAUCCCGUUUUCAGGGGUCUCCUCCUCCCCUCCCGUUGAAAAAAUCCUGUGUAUGAAAUUUUUCAUGAAUGAAAAAUUUCUGCCCAACAUAACAUCUCAGGCAUCUGGUGUAACUGACAUUACCUGAAGUUAUAUUUUACCUGUAAAUCAAUUAACAUGCAUAAUUAUAUGGCUUCACUUGUCAGCUUGGGUGUCAAACAUACUGGUAAGCAACGAUUUUUACCUCAGGCUAACUGCCGUUGUGUAACAAAAACUGUGUAUUUAUUGGGUUACUUCCCUUGAUUUAUCCUGUUUUAAGUUACUUUCCUUUUAAUAAUGAAAAUUUUUAAAAGAAUAUAAAUAAAAUAUAAAUUGAUCAAAUAAUCAUAAAGGAUGGUUAUUAAAUGAUUUUAAAUGUCUUAGGACAAAUAAAAAAAUAAUAAUUUGAAAAUUAUUUGAGGAUUCUAUACUUCCUUUUAAGGCUUAAAUUGAAAUUUAUAUAAUAACUAUGACCCUAACUUUACAGAUAGAAUGAAUUUCUGAGUUUGCAAAUAAAAAC